rnacentral:misc_RNA from 1 species
AAGUCGUAACAAGGUUUCCGUAGGUGAACCUGCGGAAGGAUCAUUACCAAUAUUCAAAAUAUCCAAACCCAUGUGCACGAUGGAACUGUCUUGGUUUUUGGGGUGGGCUAUAGCAAGUUUACCCCAGCCAAUUUUUUUGCUAAACUACUUUGUCACUAUUGUCAUGGAAUUAUUACUUGUUAUUAAUAAAUAUAAUGACAACUUUUAACGGUGGAUCUCUUGGCUCGUG